AGAUUGAUCAUGGCUAGGGAUGAACGCUGCGCUGCUUAAUACAUGCAAGUCGAACGGAGUUGUGAUGUGAGCGAGAGAAAGCUUGCUUUUAAUCAAUCUUUUCAUAACUUAGUGGCGGACGGGUGAGUAACGCGUGGGUAACCUGCCCUGUACAGGGGGAUAACGGCUGGAAACGGCCGCUAAAACCGCAUAACGUCGGAAUACCGCAUGAUGUUCCGGCCAAAUAUUUAUAGGUACAGGAUGGGCCCGCGUCUGAUUAGCUAGAUGGUGAGGUAACGGCCCACCAUGGCGACGAUCAGUAGCCGUACUGAGAGGUAGAACGGCCACAUUGGGACUGAGACACGGCCCAAACUCCUACGGGAGGCAGCAGUAGGGAAUAUUGGUCAAUGGGGGAAACCUGAACCGCGACGCCGCGUGAGUGAAGAAGUAUUUCGGUAUGUAAAGCUCUAUCAGCAGGGACGAUGAUGACGGUACCUGACUAUGAAGCCCCGGCUAACUACGUGCCAGCAGCCGCGGUAAUACGUAAGGGGCAAGCGUUAUCCGGAUUACUGGGUGUAAAGGAGUGUAGGUGGCGUGCAG
rnacentral:rRNA from 1 species